GAUGAAGAACGUAGCGAACUGCGAUAAGUAAUGUGAAUUGCAGAAUUCAGUGAAUCAUCGAGUCUUUGAACGCACAUUGCGCCCCCUGGCAUUCCGGGGGGCAUGCCUGUCCGAGCGUCAUUGCUGCCCUUCAAGCCCGGCUUGUGUGUUGGGUCGUCGUCCCCCCCGGGGGACGGGCCCGAAAGGCAGCGGCGGCACCGCGUCCGGUCCUCGAGCGUAUGGGGCUUCGUCACCCGCUCUUGUAGGCCCGGCCGGCGCUUGCCGACACAUCAAUCUUUUUUCCAGGUUGACCUCGGAUCAGGUAGGGAUACCCGCUGAACUUAAGCAUAUCAAUAAGCGGAGGA
rnacentral:misc_RNA from 1 species